AGUGGUCAGGGAUGAUGGGAAUUGUAGUCCCUAAACAUCUGUAGGGCCGAGUUUGCUUAUGCUUGCACUAGGCCACUGGAAGUAGUACAAUUCUCAUCAUCCUUGACCACU